GUGGAAUUGAGCCACCUUUUGGGCAACACAGCUUAAAACCCAAAGCUUGGAAAUUGUGCAAAGUAAUUAGAAUAAAUCCCGUCACAAUUAACUUCUUAUCUGGGCCAUUUCAGAGAAAAGUCUGUUAAGGAAGAUGCAACCUUUGCUCCUCCAAAUACGAUUAUCAACCUACUCUGACUUCUAAUGGAUGGCAGAGCCGUUAAAAUCAAGUCAGAAAUAUGGGCUGACCGCCCCAACCAUUUUGACUUCAAUUGUUGAAGAAAUAGACAAAAAAGACUACAUCUGUAUACACAAGACAUUAUAGAAAUAUAGAAAAAUGCCAUAUGUCAGAGGACCAAAUCAAAGGCAAUGAAGACUGUAAAAACCAGUCUGGGUAAUGUGAUAUUAGGACUUAUGUUGUAGUUUAGGGAACAAUAAAUGUUCUCUCAGCAUGAACCCAAAAUAUGAUGACUUGGAUCUAUGUAUUUCUGUUUACACAAAAACAAUCAUUAUUUCAUUGUGAAUUAUAUUGAGAUAGAGUUUAAAAGCAAGCAGAAAAAUUAGACUUAAUAAAGGACAGAAGACCACAAAUAUAUUUAUUCAUGUGCCUACAAAUGUUUGUAUACCAUGCA